rnacentral:rRNA from 1 species
UAAUACAGAGAGGGCAAGCGUUGUCCGGAAUGACUGGGCGUAAAGCGCGCGCAGGCGGUCUUUUAAGUUGGGUGUGAAAUCCCCGGGCUUAACCUGGGAACUGCAUUCGAUACUGGAAGACUAGAGGCCGAGAGAGGAAAGCGGAAUGACGAGUGUAGAGGUGAAAUUCGUAGAUAUUCGUCGGAACACCAGAGGCGAAGGCGGCUUUCUGGCUCGGACCUGACGCUCAGGCGCGAAAGCGUGGGGAGCAAACAGG